AGAUGUGAGGGCAAUCUGGCUGCGAUAUCUGUCACCCCGUUGAUUACCAAGGUUGAUUUGGCAGAUCUGGCUGGCUAGGCGGGUGUCUCUUUUCCUCCUUCACCGCUCCAUGUGGUACUUCCCUCCCGAAGCUGCGCACUCGGUUGAAGAGGACGGCCUUCCCCGAAUAGAGACUGACUGGUCUUCGGUCGAGGGUAUACGAGUAGCUGUGCUCCCCUGCUAGAACCUCCAAACAAGCUCUCUAUAACUAUCUGUCUAUCUAUAUAUUUUUCCUUUUUUUUUAUUUAAGUAAGGAGACAUUAACAAAAUCAUAGGAUGGGGGAGUACAACUCCACACAAUUCCCG
rfam:Erinaceus europaeus unplaced genomic scaffold scaffold00019, whole genome shotgun sequence